rnacentral:rRNA from 1 species
UACGUAGGGUGCAAGCGUUGUCCGGAAUUAUUGGGCGUAAAGAGCUCGUAGGCGGUCUGUCGCGUCGGAUGUGAAAAAUCCAGGGCUCAACCCUGGACCUGCAUUCGAUACGGGCAGACUAGAGUUCGGUAGGGGAGACUGGAAUUCCUGGUGUAGCGGUGAAAUGCGCAGAUAUCAGGAGGAACACCGGUGGCGAAGGCGGGUCUCUGGGCCGAUACUGACGCUGAGGCACGAAAGCGUGGGGAGCAAACAGG